ACUGAUUGUUAAUCAUUUCAAUUUAAAAACAAAAUUUGUAAGAACUGAAGAAGAGUCCAGUUUUAUUAAGUAUGUGCAGUGAAUUCUGAGUAAAUGGCCUUAUUUCCCUUAGAGGGACAUUUUCUACCUGAGCCUUUGUGACUUCUGGCCCUCUCCUCUGCCUUCCGUAUUGGUCUCUUCCCUCCUGAAUUUGUUGCUGCCUUUACUCUCUCUCCCCACAUUAUGAUAGCACUUAUUACAUUCAUGUAAUAAACAAACAUAUAGGGGGUCGUAAUGGAUGUAUGUGUCAACUUGACAGAGUAAGCUUUCAAUCAAGGCAAGCUUUCUUACUACCCUCAUAUUUUGUUUAAAUAUGCAGCUGAAUAAAUUUCUCUUUAUUAUUCAUUUUUUCUUAAUUCUUAACUGUCUAUUCAUUCUUCCAAGGAAAUUUAGUAUUUUUUAAAAUAAUUGUUUUUAUUUUAGGUUUUUUUUUUGUUAUAGUUGAUUCACAUUGUUCUGUCAAUUUCUACUGUACAGCAAAGUGACCCAGUCAUAUAUAUACACAUAUACAUAUGUGUGUGUGUGUACGCAUUCUUCUUCUCACAUUAUCCUCCAUCAUGUUCCAUCACAAGUGAUUGGAUAUAGUUCCCUGUGCUAUAUAGCAGGAUCUCAUUGCUUAUCCACUUUGAAUGCAAUAGUUUGUAUGUAUCUACUAACCCCAACUUCCAGGCCAUCCCACUCUCUCCCCCUCCCUCCCUGGCAACUACAAGUUGAUUCUCCAAGUCCAUGAAUUUGUUUCUUUUCUGUAGACGUGUUCAUUUGUGCCAUAUAUCAGAUUCCAGAUAUAAAUAAUAUCAUAUGGUAUUUGUCUUUCUCUUUCUGACUUACUUCACUGAAUAUGAGGGUCUCUAGUUCCAUCCAUGUUGCUGCAAAUGGCAUUAUUUUGUUCUUUUUUAUGGAUGAGUAGUAUCCCAUCACAUUUAUAUGUAUAUAUCUCACUUCUUCUUAAUCCAUUCAUCUGUCUAUGGACAUUUAGGUUGUUUCCAUGUCUUGGCUAUUGUGAAUUGUGCUGCAAUGAACAUGCGGGUGCAUGUAUCUUUUUCAAGGAAAGUUUUGUCUGGAUAUAUGCCCAGGAGUGGGAUUGCUGGAUCAUAUGGUAGUUCUAUAUUUAGUUUUCUGAGGUACCUCCAUACUGUUUUCCAUAGUGGUUGUACCAACUUACAUUCCCACCAACAGCGUAGGAGGGUUCCCUUUUCUCCACACCCUCUCUAGCAUUUGCUAUUUGUGGACUUCUUAACAAUGGCCAUUCUGACUGGUUCCUCAUAGUAGCUUUGAUUUGCAUUUCCCUAAUAAUCAGUGAUGUUAAGCACUUUGUCAUGUGGUUGUUGGCCAUCAAUAUAUCCCUUCUUUGGAGAAAUAUCUGUUCAGGUCUUUUGCCCAUUUUUCAGUUGGGUUGUUGGCUUUUUUGCUGUUGAGUUGUAUAUGUUUGUAUAUUUUAGAGCUUAAACCCUUGUCAGUUGCAUCACUUGAAAAUAUUUUCUCCCAUUCCAUAGGUUGUCUAUUUUUUUUAUGGUUUUCUUUGCUGUGCAAAACCUUGUCAGUUUGAUUAGUCCCAUUUGUUUAUUUUUGUUUUUAUUUCUGUUGCCUUGGGAGACUGGCUUGGGAAAACAUUGGUUUUGUCAAGGUUGAUGUCAGAGAAUGUUUUGCCUAUGUUCUCUUCUAGGAGUUUAAUGGUGUCUUGUCUUAUGUUUAAGUCUUUAAGACAAUUUGAAUUUAUAUUUAUGCAUGGUGUAAAGGUGUGUUCCAGUUUCACUAAUUUACAUGUGGCUAUCCAGUUUUCCCAGCACCACUUACUGAAAAGAUUGUCUUUUUCCCAUUUUAUAUUCUUGCCUCCUUUGUCAAAGAUUAAUUGACUGCAAGUGUCUGGGUUUAUUUCUGGGUUCUUUAUUCUGUUCCAUUGGUCUGUAUGUCUGUUUUUGCACUAGUAACACACUGUCUCGAUUACUGUGGCUUUGUAAUAUUACCUGAAGUCUGAGAGAGUUAUGCCUCCUGCUUGGUUUUUGUUCCUCAGGAUUGCUUUGGCAAUUCUGGGUCUUUUAUGGCUCCAUAUAAAUUUUUGGAUUGUUUGUUGUAGUUCUGUGAAAAAUGUCCUGGGUAAUUUGAUAGGGAUUUCAUUGAAUCUAUAGAUUGAUUUGGGUAGUAUGGCCACUUUAACAAUUUUAAUUUUUCCAAUCCAGGAGCAUGGAAUAUCUCUCCAUUUCUUUGAAUCCUCUUUAAUUUCCUUGAUUAAUGUUUUAUAGUUCUCAGUAUAUAAGUCUCUCACCUACUUAGUCAGGUUUAUUCUUAGGUAUUUAAUUUUUUAGGGUACAAUUUUAAAUGUUAUUGUAUUUUUAUAUUCCUUUUCUAAUACUUUGUAGUUAGUAUACGUAAAUGCAACCAAUCUCUGAAUGUUAAUCUUGUAUCCUGCUACUUUGCUGAAUUCAUUUAACAGUUCAAGUAGUUUUUGUGUGGAAUCAUUAGGGUUUUCAAUAUGUAAUAUCAUGUUAUCUGCAUAGAGUGACAAUUUACCUCUUUUCUUCCAGUUUGGAUAUAUAUAUAUUUGUCUGAUUGCUAUGGCUAGGGCUUCCAAUACCACGUUGAAUAAAAGUGGUGGGAGUGAGCAUCCUUGUCUUGUUCCAGAUUUUAGUGGGAAGCCUUUCAGCUUUACUCCAUUGAGGAUUAUAUUGGUUGUGGGCAUAAACUUGUAUUAUGUGAAUGUGUGUUCCCUCUAUGCCGACUUUGGUAAGUUUUUAUCAUGAAUGGAUGUUGGACUUUGUCAGAUGCUUUUUCUGCAUCUAUUGAGAUGCUUAUGUGGUUUUUGACUUUUCUUUUGUUAAUGUCAUGUAUGACGUUGAUUGAUUUGUGUAUCUUGAGGCAUUCUUGUGAACCUGGGAUGAAUCCCACUUGAUCAUGGUGUAUGAUCUUUAUAUGUUGUUGGAUUUGGUUGGCUAAAAUUUUGUUGAGAAUUUUUGUGUCUAGCGUCAUCAAAGGUAUUGGCCUAUAAUUUUCUUUUUUGAUAGUAUCUUUGUCUGGUUUUGGUAUUAGGGUGAUGGUGGCUCCAUAGAGUGUCUCUGGGAGUGUUCCUUUUUCUUGAACUUUUUGGAAAAGUUUAAGAAGGAUGGGUAUAAGUUCCUCCUUGUAUGUUUGGUAGAAUUCGCCUGUGAAGCCAUUUUGUCCUGGACUUUUGUUUGUAGAGAGUGUUUUUAUUACAUAUUCAAUUUCACUUCUAGUGAUUGAUCUGUUCAAUUGAUCUAUUUCUUUUUGAUAGUUUUGGCAGGCUGUAUGUCUCUAGAAAGUUGUUCAUUUCCUCUAGGUUGUCCAGUUUGUUGGCAUAUAACUGUUCAUAUUGUUCGCUUAUGGUUUUUUUUUUUUGUAUUUCUUCAGUAUCCAUUGAAUUUUUACUUUUUUAUUUCUUAUUUUGUUUAUUUGAGUUCUUUCUCUCCUCUUCUUGGUGAGUCUGGCCAGAGGUUUGUCAGUUUUGUGUACCCUUUCAAGGAAUCAGCUCUUGUUUUUAUUGAUUUUUUUUCUAUUGUUUCUUAAAUCUCUAUUUUAUUAAUUUCAUUUCUGAUCUGAUCUUUAUGAUUUCCUUCCUUCUGCUGACUUUAGGCUUUUUUUUUGUUCUUUUUGUAAUUCAUUUAGGUGGUGGGUUAAACUAUCCAUUUGAGAUUUUUCUUCUCUUUUGAGGAGGGCCUGUAUUGCUAUGAACUUACCUCUAAGCACUGCUUUUGUGGCAUCCCAUAGGUGGUUGAAUGGUUGUGUUUUUAUUAUCAUUUGUCUUAAGGUAUUUUAAAAUUUCUGUUUAGAUUUCAUCACUGACCCAUUUGUUUUUUAGUAGCAUGUUGUUUAGUCUCCAUGUAGUCAGUGCUUUUCUCAUUUAUUUUCCUGUGGUCGAUUUCUAGUUUCAUGCCAUUGUGGUCAGAGAAGAUACUUGAAAUAAUUUCUAUACUUUUAAAUUUGUUGAUGUUAGUUUUGUGCCCCAGUAUAUGUCAGUGCUAGAGAAUAUUCCAUGUGCACUUGAAAAGAAUGUAUAUUCUGAUUUUUUUGGAUAUAACGUCCUAAAAAUGUCAAUGAAGUCUAACUUUUCUAAUGUGUCAUUUAGGAUCUCUGUUGCCUUAUUGGUUUUAUGUGUAGAGGAUCUGUCCAUUGAUGUGAGUGGGGUGUUAAAGUCUCUUACUGUUAUUGUAUUCCCAUCAAUUUCUCAUUUUAUGUCUGUUAGUAUUUGUUGUAGGUAUCUGGGUACUGCUAUAUUAGGGGCAUAUAUAUUGACAAUUAUAAUUUCCUCCUCUUGAAUGGAUCCUUUUAUCAUUAAAUAGUGUCCUUCUUUAUCUUUCUUUAUGACCUUUGUUUUAAAGUCUAUUUCAUCUGAUUGGAAUAUUGCAACCCCUGCUUUCCUGUCUUUUCCAUUUGCAUGAAACUCACUUUGAAUUUAUAUGUGUCCUUUGCCCUAAGGUGAGUCUCUUGUAGAUGGCAUAUUGUAGAGUCUUGUUUUUUUAAUGCAAUCUGCCACUCUUUUACAGCCUGUAGUGUUUCUGUAGAGAAGUCAGCUCAUAGCCUUAUGGGUGUUCCCUUAUAAUUAACUCUUUUUCUCGUGCUGCCUUUAGAAUCCUCUCCUUAUCUUUAAUUUUUGCCAUUUUUGAUCCUGCCUCUGAAAACAAGAAUUUUUUGUGUGUGUGCUACUCUGUUACAAGUAUAAGAACAAUGUCUGUAAUUUACUUAAAUAUUUAUUGAAUAAACAAAUAUUGUUGAAUGAUGGCAGAAGUUACAGCAGCUACUUGAAACUUAAAAGUCAGGAAAAUUUCAGAGACAUCGUCCUUGACAUUAUUGUGUCACUGAAUUAAUACCAACAGUUGCCUCCCUCAAGAUUUGUUAUGUGACAAAAUUUAACUCUACUUGAUAUCCACUGUGUGUCAGGUUUUCUAUUAUUUGCAGCCAAAAGCAUUACUUGACUAUGGAAUUACUUUGUGUGCUAUAAUUUUGCAAAUCAGACAUGUGAAAAAAGCCCCCUUUAAUAUGGGGAAAUUGAUAGGGUGAUGGUAAUAUUUAAUAUCUUUAUAGAUGUUCAAGCAAGCAUUCUUAAAAAUGCAACACAUGUACACUUAGAAUUUGUGCAUUUAAUUAUAUUUAAAUUUUGUCUAACAUAAUAAAAGAACAAAUGUUGAACUCUGGUUAAUGAUAUGGAUGCUGAAGUUUUUAUGGUAAAGAAUGGUGAUAUCUGAAAUUUACCUUGAAAUGUAAAAAAAGAGAUAUGGAUUGACAAAAGAACUGAUAGAUACAUGUUAAAGCAAGUAGAAUGAAAUUCUGGGGACAGAAUUAUCAUGCUCAUCCUCAAUGUUUUUUCAACUUUUCUGUAAAUAUUCUAUAAAUUUUCAAAUAUUUAUAGUCGCCCCAUCUUAUAAAUAUAUAUGCCAGACAUGGAGGAAAUGGUGGCUUUGAAAACUUUAUGUGAGGCAGAGUGGCUCUCUGGCUAGCAGUAGGGGAAUGGCAUGAAGACAUCACCUUAAAGUGCAUAGCAAUCAUAGUACUAAACCACACAUAAUGAAAUUCUCAAUGGCAUUUUCAUUUUGAACUUGACAAUAUUAAUACUAAAUUUCAAGUUACAUAUCUGUUGGGAGCAGAGGGGACGUGAGGUCAGCCUGGGGCAGGUGUUGGCCAUCUCUUAUAAAGGCAGAGCCAUCUGAGGGUGAAUCAAGUAAGCAGAGCCCAGAGAUCAAGAGAGAGGAUUUCUGGUGCCAUCAAUGAGUGCCAGGAUCAAGAUGGUGGAGAGACAAUACAUGGUGCUCACCUUUUCCUACAAACACAUCCAAAAAAACACAAAAAACAAAAAACCAAGCAUCUACAUGUAGAGAAAUUCACACAGAACAUCUACUGAAGGCUGGCAGAAGACUUUAAAUCUCCAAAAAGGGCAAGAAACCCUUCACGUAACUGGGUAGAACAAAAGGAAAAAAAGAGAGAGAGAGAGAAAAUGAAUCAGGACAGGACUAGCACUCCUGAGAGGGAGGUAUUAAAAAGGAAAGGAACCUACACCCUGGGAAGCCACCAAACCAACAGGGAGAUCAGAUGACGUGGAGGGACCUCAAAGUCGCAGAGAAAAGCACAACAGCUGGACUGAGGAGGGCAAAGCAGAGUGAGAGCUGCACAGACCAUCUGUACCACUGCCCCUGGAUACUACAGGCUGUGACACUCAGGCUGGGGCUGGGCACUAAGACUCAGGCUCCAGAAGAAGGCAUGGACAAACCACAGCAGUUAUCUCAGACACCAGCAGGUGGUGUGGCCUUCCACCACUGGUGGUCUAUGAAUUGACACAACCUGAACUUCUUUCCCAGAGGUUGACAAAGAAGAGGGCACUGCAAUGAAGCACCACCCAUUGUUGCUUUCACUCCCCUGGGAACACACCCAGUCUGCUGUUGCCACAGAAAAUACUCCAGUUCCCACCUACACAUGCCUGAUCACUGUCACUUCCCAGGGCCCUGCAACUAGGAGCAGCCUAUGCCACCUUACUGCAGGUCCUUGCCACUGUCAAGGACCCAGCUUAGCAACCAGGCAUUGGCUGUUAGUCCUGCCCAUUGCCCCAUCUCCCUGGAAACAUGUGCAGCACUCUAAAAAUAAAAAGUAAGCUCUAACAAAAUACCCAGGGGUGCUUGCACAUAUAAAUAGCCCUCCAAGACUACAGUAGUUGUUUUCCCUAAACUCACAGAAUAAGAAAAAUAUAAGCAAAAUGAAGAAGCCCAGGAAUCAUUCCCAGUUAAAAGAACAGGAAAAUUCACCUAAAGGAGAAAAUAAUAAAACAGACCUCUGCAGUCUAACACACAUCAGAUUCAAAAAGGAGAUAGUGAAAAUUCUGAAGGAAUGAAGACCAAAUAUGAAGGAAUUAAGAGUGGAUAUGAACAGUAACACAGAUUACAUUAGAAAUAGAAAAUAUAAGGGGAGUUCCCGUCGUGGCGCAGUGGUUAACGAAUCCGACUAGGAACCAUGAGGUUGCGGGUUCGGUCCCUGCCCUUGCUCAGUGGGUUAAUGAUCCGGCGUUGCCGUGAGCUGUGGUGUAGGUUGCAGACGCGGCUCGGAUCCCGCAUUGCUGUGGCUCUGGCGUAGGCCGGUGGCUACAGCUCCGAUUCAACCCCUAGCCUGGGAAACUCCAUAUGCCGCGGGAGCAGCCCAAGAAAUAGCAACAACAACAACAACAACAAAAAAAAGACAAA
rnacentral:lncRNA from 1 species